rnacentral:rRNA from 1 species
AGAGUUUGAUCCUGGCUCAGAACGAACGCUGGCGGCGUGGAUAAGACAUGCAAGUCGAGCGAGAUUUUUUUCUGUAGCAAUACAGGGAAAAGUCUAGCGGCGAACGGGUGCGUAACACGUGGGCAACCUGCCAAGAAGUGGGGGAUAGCUCGCCGAAAGGCGAAUUAAUACCGCAUGUGAUCAGAGUGGACAUCCAUUCAAAAUCAAAGUCGGGGCAACCUGACGCUUCUUGAGGGGCCCGCGGCCUAUCAGCUAGUUGGUGAGGUAACGGCCCACCAAGGCUUAGACGGGUAGCUGGUCUGAGAGGACGACCAGCCACACUGGGACUGAGGCACGGCCCAGACACCUACGGGUGGCAGCAGUCGAGAAUUUUUCUCAAUGGGGGAAACCCUGAAGGAGCGACGCCGCGUGGAGGAUGAAGGUCUUCGGGUUGUAAACUCCUGUCAUUUGGGAACAAUGCGCAAAUAUUAACUGUAUUUGCGUUGAUAGUACCAGAAGAGGAAGGGACGGCUAACUCUGUGCCAGCAGCCGCGGUAAUACAGAGGUCCCAAGCGUUGUUCGGAUUCAUUGGGCGUAAAGGGUGCGUAGGCGGCGCGGUAAGUCGGGUGUGAAAUCUCGGGGCUUAACUCCGAAACUGCAUUCGAUACUGCCGUGCUUGAGGACUGGAGAGGAGACUGGAAUUUACGGUGUAGCGGUGAAAUGCGUAGAUAUCGUAAGGAAGACCAGUGGCGAAGGCGGGUCUCUGGACAGUUCCUGACGCUGAGGCACGAAGGCCAGGGGAGCAAACGGGAUUAGAUACCCCCGUAGUCC